rnacentral:rRNA from 1 species
AACGAACGCUGGCGGCAUGCCUAACACAUGCAAGUCGAACGACACCUUAGGGACUACUGGCGCACGCGUGCGUAACGCGUGGGAACCUGCCCUUAGGUUCGGAAUAACUCCUCGACAGGGGUGCUAAUACCGGAUAAUGUCUGCGAACCCAAGAUUUAUCGCGUUUGGAUGGGCCCGCGUUCGUUUACCUAGUUGGUAUGGUAAGAGCCUAUCAAGGCGACGAUCCACAGCUGGUCUGAGAGGAUGAUCCGCCACUCUGGGAAUGAGACACAGCGCAGACUAUUGCGGAAGGCAGCAAUGGGGAAUAUAGGAAAACGGGCUAAAGCCUGAAGCAGCAAUGCCGGGUGAGUGAUGAUGUUCGUAAAGUUGUACAGCACGUUUAUCCCGGACGAUAAUGACAGUACCGAAAGAAUAAGCACCGGCUAACUCCGUG